rnacentral:rRNA from 1 species
UGAGGAAUAUUGGUCAAUGGGCGAGAGCCUGAACCAGCCAAGUCGCGUGAGGGAAGACGGUCCUAUGGAUUGUAAACCUCUUUUGCCGGGGAGCAAAGAGCGGCACGUGUGCCGCGCCGAGAGUACCCGGAGAAAAAGCAUCGGCUAACUCCGUGCCAGCAGCCGCGGUAAUACGGAGGAUGCGAGCGUUAUCCGGAUUUAUUGGGUUUAAAGGGUGCGCAGGCGGCGCGUUAAGUCAGCGGUAAAAUUUCGGGGCUUAACCCCGCACGAGCCGUUGAAACUGGCGUGCUAGAGUGGGCGAGAAGUAUGCGGAAUGCGUGGUGUAGCGGUGAAAUGCAUAGAUAUCACGCAGAACUCCGAUUGCGAAGGCAGCAUACCGGCGCCCAACUGACGCUCAUGCACGAAAGCGUGGGGAGCAAAUAGGAUUAGAUACC